GUCAACUACUCGGCACUGAAGUACCGAGCUUGUCUCGAUAACAGAAGUGCGUUCCUUUGAACAAGUUGACUACCCUAAGUCUUGAAACAGAGGCUACGUUAUACAAGAAUAUAUAGUCACCGGUGGGCGUUUGCUCUAACCUGCUGCUCUGAG
rnacentral:sRNA from 19 species